GAGAGUUUGGCCGAGUGGUUAAGGCGUCAGAUUUAGGCUUAACUUUCAGAAUAAGUCAGAUUCUCUGAUAUCUUCGGAUGCGCGGGUUCGAAUCCCGUAGCUCUCA
rfam:Lachancea nothofagi CBS 11611 genome assembly, chromosome: F